GACGCACGCUGGCGGCGUGCUUAACACAUGCAAGUCGAACGAGCGGCGGACGGGUGAGUCAUGUCUGUGAACCUGCCUGAUGGCGGGGGAUAACGAAUGGAAACGGUAGCUCAUACCGCCUAACAUCAGCUGUGCCCAGAUUGGAUUAGCUAGUAGGUGGGGUAAAGGCUCACAUCGGCGACGAUCCCUAGCUGGUCUGAGAGGAGGACCGGCCAAACUGGAACUGAGAUACGGUCCAGACUCCUACGGGAGGCAGCAGUGGGGAAGAUUGCACAAUGGGCGCAAGCCUGAUGCAGCCAUGCCGCGUGUGUGAAGAAGGCCUUCGGGUUGUAAAGCACGUUCAGCGAGGAGGCGUUACUCGCAGAAGAAGCACAGGCUAACUCCGUGCCAGCAGCCGCGGUAAUUC
rnacentral:rRNA from 1 species